UACGAAGGGUGCAAACGUUGCUCGGAAUUAUUGGGCGUAAAGCGCACGUAGGCGGUAUUGCAAGUCGGAUGUGAAAUCCCUCGGCUUAACCAAGGAAGUGCAUCCGAAACUGCAGUACUUGAGUACGAAAGAGGAUCGCGGAAUUCCCGGUGUAGAGGUGAAAUGCGUAGAUAUCUGGAGGAACACCGGUGGCGAAGGCGGCAUCCUGGACCGACACUGACGCUGAGGAGCGAAAGCCAGGGGAGCAAACGGG
rnacentral:rRNA from 1 species